GUUUGCAACACUUGUGACAUCAGAAUGUACUACAGAUUAUGUCUUAAAACUUUGUUCUUUGUCAUUUGGUUUCAUUACUUUGGCCGUUACAUACAAUUCGUUUUACGUUAACAGUGACAAAUUAAGGUAUUUAGUGGAACAACUUCAGCUUGUUUAUGAUGACUUAAAAGAUAAUAAUGAAAUUGCCAUCUUUGAAAAAUAUGGAAACGUUUCAAAACGUUAUGCGGCUGCAUUUAUUAGAUUGCCAUUUCUGACACCUGAGCAGCGUACGCACACAAGCGAUGUAUCCAUGACGCGUCACGUCUAAUAUGUGCCAUGGUGGAAGUAUAUAAGGUGAAACAUUCCGGUGGAUGCGUAGUCGUUCAAAAGUAGAGGGGGAGCAAUCAACCAAUCAGAAGUGCCCCAAACAUAAAAUCCACUAUAGCCGACACAAGAUUGCAGAGUGAACGAUAGUGCAGUGAUAGUAAGUGUCAAAUUAAUGAAAAUGACAGGCUGUUUUGUAAAAAAUUGCAAAAAUCGGAUUGAUGUAUAUGUAUAUUUAUUAAUAUAAUUAUUUUGAUUUGGCAAAACUAUGUUUUUAUUUGAUUGAAAUUAUUUUAUUUUAAAUUCCUGUUUUUAGUUCUGAUUGGUUGUCUGCCCAUAAUACCGUCAUUCUGCACAAUGCUUCACCUUGUAUAUUUCUACUAUGUACAUUCAGCGUAUAUACAUAUAACACAGCGCGUUGCCAGUGUACUUACGCUGCUUACGCUGCUCUGGCGUCAGAAAUGGCAGUCCUGUGUAUAAUUAUACAUAAAUUAAUGGGAUGCUGAACUGCUUCUCUAACUUGCUCGGGAUCGAUAAUGUAGAGUCAUUCGUGGCUAUUAUUAAUAAUAUUUUAUAUGUAUUCUUUUAUAGACUUGGAAAUUCUUUUUCAUAAUUUGCCUUGUUCGAACUAACAUCAGCGCCUCAAGUAGUGACAAUAAUAACUAAUUUUUUGGGGAAAAUAGCCAAAACAUGGAAGGUGUGAUAGGCAAUAAUUGCUUCUUAAUUAAUUUUACAGAUAUAUUGGAAUAUGUAGGAACAAGUUUACGACUUUAUUAAGAAGACGAAAGAGUUUUUUUUUGGCAUUGUUAAAAAUUACACAGUUUAUAUUUAUACAGAGAGAAGAUAGAAUAAAGGACGGGAGCCAGUUAAAAAAGCAUCAGGCAAUUAGAAAGAGACAGAAAUCGAAGUGAUCUGGCUGUCCUUGUCUUAGCGUAUGCGCAAAGAAGAGUCUAUAGUUAUAUAUGAGUGUGAAGUUAAAAAAAAUGAAUACAGAUUUUAAAAAUCUAAUAAAUGUUUUAUUAUUAGUGAAAACAUAAUAUAUAUAUUAAAAAUUAUAUAUUAAAAAUUGAAAAUGCAUAUUAUGCACAUUCGAACCAUAUUGCAUAAUAGAAUUUUAUCUUCUCUCUGUUGCUGUGUUUCAAAAUUUGACAGGUGUCACUGAAGUGACAUAUGUAACGGAAACAAUUGCAUAGCUAAAUAUCAAAAACUGUGGAAUGCGCAUACGCGAAUAGACAAUGACAGCCAGGUUACUUGGAUUUCUGUCUCUUUUUAAUAGUCUGAUGUUUCCACUUACACGAUUACCUAUGGCUCCCGCGCUCUAUUCUAUCUUCUCUCUGUAUUUAUAUCUCUCAAAGGCAAAAUUGUCUAUUCUUGAUAUGAUUUUUUCAACUAAUAUUUUUUUCUAUUUAUUCAGAGAUUUUUAUCUUAUCUAAAAAUCUGUUUGGUAAAUUAAGAGACGCUAUUGAACCUAUCCUUAUAAAAAUUAAUAUUAAUCUCAAACACAAUAGAUUCUUUCCUAUAAAAUUAAAAUACAUUAUAGUACGAAGAAUACUUCAUGGAAAAGUACUUAAUAAAAAAAAGGAACGUAAAACACAUUAAUGGUGUAGUGUUCCUCAAUGUAAUUUUAAAAGUAACAAAACAUUACAUUUCCAAAAAACAAAAA